AUUGAACGCUGGCGGAAUGCUUUACACAUGCAAGUCGAACGGCAGCACGGACUUCGGUCUGGUGGCGAGUGGCGAACGGGUGAGUAAUGUAUCGGAACGUGCCCAGUCGUGGGGGAUAACGUAGUGAAAAUUACGCUAAUACCGCAUACGAUCUAUGGAUGACAGCGGGGGAUCGCAAGACCUCGUGCGAUUGGAGCGGCUGAUAUCAGACUAGGUAGUUGGUGGGGUAAAGGACCACCAAGCAAACGAUCUGUAGCUGGUCUGAGAGGACGACCAGCCACACUGGAACUGAGACACGGUCCAGACUCCUACGGGAGGCAGCAGCGGGGAAUUUUGGACAAUGGGCGAAAGCCUGAUCCAGCCAUUCCGCGUGCAGGAUGAAGGCCCUCGGGUUGUAAACUGCUUUUGUACAGAACGAAAAGGUUUCUACUAAUACUAGGAGCUCAUGACGGUACUGUAAGAAUAAGCACCGGCUAACUACGUGCCAGCCGCCGCGGUAA
rnacentral:rRNA from 1 species